rnacentral:rRNA from 1 species
UACGGAGGGUGCAAGCGUUAUCCGGAUUCACUGGGUUUAAAGGGUGCGUAGGAGGGCAGGUAAGUCCGUGGUGAAAUCUCUGAGCUUAACUCGGAAACUGCCAUGGAUACUAUCCGUCUUGAAUGCGGUGGAGGUGAGCGGAAUAUGUCAUGUAGCGGUGAAAUGCUUAGAUAUGACAUAGAACACCGAUUGCGAAGGCAGCUCGCUACACCUGCAUUGACUCUGAGGCACGAAAGCGUGGGGAUCAA